rnacentral:rRNA from 1 species
CGCGACCCCAGGUCAGGCGGGGCUACCCGCUGAGUUUAAGCAUAUCAAUAAGCGGAGGAAAAGAAACUAACGAGGAUUCCCCUAGUAACGGCGAAGAACUGGGAAAAUUUCAAAA